GUAGAUUGGUGUGUCUGGCUCAGAAUCAAGCAAUAUAUCUUUAAGGCAUUUGGUGGUUGAGUUCUUGGGUAUUUCUGCUACACCACUCCUUAAUUCGGUAAUAGCUACCUGAUUUUGCUCCAAGGACUCGUUGGAUUUGAUAAUCAUCUUUUCUUCCUCAUUCUUGGCAUCAUUUUGGGCAUUAAAUGGAUGCACCUUCUCAAACUGCAUUCAUGCUCUAUUAGUUUAAAAGUCAUACAGACUGUAACAAUAAUCAGGAGAAUUAGGAACUUCCGCUGACUAAACUUAGAGAAAGGUGAGUAAACACCAACGCGAGUUUUGAAUUUGGGACCUGUACAUUUCAUCAUUAAUUACCCUUAUGGUGCUCAGACUAAGUAGUUGUAUUUUGUAUUAUCCAAGAGGAUCAGUUAUACUUACAUUUUGACAGGUGCACCGGUCGUUUCCAUGCUUACAUAAAUUUGAAGAUCUCGUGCUUCUGGAUUUCUUACUCCUGUUAAACCGAAAUAAAUUUGGAUGAGAAUGAGCAUACUGAAAUUACGAAAAGCGUGAUUCUACAAAUGAGAGCUAGAGCAAUGUGUUGUAAACUUAAGGUAUCAUCUCCAUUUUCACUUUUCAAUCCCUUUUGUGGACUGGACAUAUGAAAUUGCUAAAGACAAAUUAAACUUGGUCAUAAUCAUCUAAUCCAUUCCAAUAGGUCUUUGUUGUCUAUGUGUUAUGAGAAUUUUUGUUAUUAAAAUUGCUAAAUGUAAUAUGUAGUUUAAAUUCAUGCUGCUGGGCUGAUGGUCUUAUCUCCUUUCUGUCUUAUAUAUGUACAAAGCAACUUUAUACUUCAAUAAACUUAGUCUAAGAAGCUUACAUUAUCUGUUCUAAUUCACCAUUCUUUAGAGGACCCUCUCCAGAAGACAUAAUCUGAUAAUACAUCAGCCAAGCUUUGUAUCUCCUCGCCAUCUUUACCAUCAUAACAUAGACCUCAUUCUCAUCAAGAUUGAUAAAAGAUGCAGAUGUAAAUUCUUUUGAAUGUGUUUCCUUCCCUUCAUGCUCAAAGCUUAAGAUAAACAAACAUUGACACAGGUCCGUAGAUAUUUCAGUGUGAAGAAGCCUAGGUGAAACUGCAAGAGCUUGAAGAAAAUGCAUCGCGACUUGCCACUCAUCUCCUUGGAGCUUUCGAAUAACAGAGAGGUAAAAGUAGGAAUAGCCUAUCAAAUAAUUGUUUGGAAUUCCGGCUGUUUCUCCUUGCUCGUCGAGUGAGGCUGGAACUUGAAGCAUGUUCUCUGAAUUCUGCAGCCUUGAUGUUUUCUCUUCACUCCAUUUUGCUUGAAUUGCUGCUUCUAUACUCUCUAUCCCCCAAUAAAGAUUCGACAAUAUUGAUUGCUCCGAGAAUUCAAGGUACCCUCUAUUACAAACAUCAAGCUUUGAACUGCAUUUCAAUUUCAAGCAUUUCCGAGAUUUUGUAUCUUCAAGAAAUUCAGUUAUAUGUUGAUUGAUCACAGUGACGAAUGCACGGACUGAUUCAAGGUCUAGUUUAUCAUCAUAUGAAAAGCAAGGAGGAGGGGUAGCAACAGCAGACGAAGAAGAUGCAGAAGCCAUUGAAUUAUGUGACAUUUUGGCUUCAUGAAGAAAAACAAGG
rnacentral:lncRNA from 1 species